rnacentral:lncRNA from 1 species
ACAAAUCAAGGACGUUGAUGCGGCACAAUCAAAGGCGGUUUCUGUGUUUUGGAUUGGCAUGGCUGAGGUAAACAAAUUCAAUAUUAAACUUCCAAAUGUUAAAUAAGAAUCUGUUCCCUCUCCCUCCCUUACCUCACAAAAAGGUUCAGCUUUGUCAAUAAACACUGGAGAAAUUUCUUUGCCUACAAAAGCUAUUUCAAACGUGAGAUUUGAUUUCUCUAGAAAAUGUAUCCCACUUACAAGUGUCAAAUAAGUACAUUAUUUUUUACAAAUUUGAUUUUCAGCGUCAGGUAUUGGGUUUAAAUGUUCAGGAUACAAAAUAGUUGCUCCGUGAAGCCAUGCAACAUUAUGGUAUACCCUGGCUUCAAAAGUUUAAUAUAUUUGAUAAUGCCUUGCCUAUUUGAACUUUCAUUUUCCAUCAGAGCGUGC